AAUCCAUAGGUUAAUGAGGCGAACCGGGGGAACUGAAACAUCUAAGUACCCCGAGGAAAAGAAAUCAACCGAGAUUCCCCCAGUAGCGGCGAGCGAACGGGGAGGAGCCCAGAGCCUGAAUCAGCAUGUGUGUUAGUGGAAGCGUCUGGAAAGGCGCGCGAUACAGGGUGACAGCCCCGUACACAAAAGCGCAUGUGCUGUGAGCUCGAUGAGUAGGGCGGGACACGUGGUAUCCUGUCUGAAUAUGGGGGGACCAUCCUCCAAGGCUAAAUACUCCUGACUGACCGAUAGUGAACCAGUACCGUGAGGGAAAGGCGAAAAGAACCCCGGCGAGGGGAGUGAAAAAGAACCUGAAACCGUGUACGUACAAGCAGUGGG
rnacentral:rRNA from 6 species